UGGGAUUACAGGUGUGAGCCACCUCACCUGGCCUAGUUUUUUUUUUUUUUUUUUUUUUUUGAGACAGGAUCUCACUGUCACCCAGGCUGGAAUGCAGUGUUGCAAUCAUGGCUCGCUGCAGCCUCUACCUCCCACCCUCAAGUGAUCCUCCCACCUCAGCCUCCCAAGUACCUGGGACCACAGGUGAGAGCCCCCAUGCCCAGCUAAUUGUUUUAUUUUUUUUUGUAGAGAUGGGGUCUUCCUGUGUUGUUCAGGCCGGUCUUGAAUUCCUGGACUCAAAGCAAUCCUCCCACCUCAGCCUCCCAAACUGUUGGGAUUACAGUCAUGAGCCACCAUGCCCAGCCAAUAUGCAGCCUUGGUUAGACUAUUUGGGCUCUGCUUUCCUGAAAUUUUGUUAAAUAUCUUGUACCAGUUUUGUUUUGCCCAGCUGGAGGUUGUAUCCUAUUCUUAGGUUGGAAUGGCUGAGUGGGGAGAAGGCAUACUCUCAAGUUUAGGAUUAUUUAGUGAAGAAGUUAAGGACAUGUCACCCCAAAAACAUAUGCUGCUUCGGCAUGUUGUUUAUUCUGAGCUGAAGGCACUUGAAAAACAGCAGAGGCAGGAAGAGCUCUCUGAUCUACCCUUUUCUAUAUAAGAACAGGCCAUAAAAUUCCCCAUAAGAAAGGCGCCCUCCCUGUACAAGGAAGAGAAAAACAUCCUUAACACCAGAGACUGGGAAUCAGCACCGAAAUGGAUCUGUAUAAACUUACUAAAGCAACCCUUAUCAUCCAGUAGUUUUAUCUCCCUCCCCGUAUAUUUCCUGGUCACUUCCCCACAAUUUACUGCCCCUAACCCAAACCCCUUUGUCUGGUCAUCACUUCAAAAACUUAGCAU
rnacentral:lncRNA from 1 species